UCUGUAUGAAGUCAUUGGAGUUCAAAGAAGCCUGGGAAUGCAUAUAUAAAAGGAAAUCGGCAAUAAAGUAUACCUAAAAGACAUUGAAGUUAUUGCUGAUGAUUCGCAUCUCAAACUACGAGUGUUAAAGAUUUGGAAUUUUAUAAAAAAUAACCAGGUUUUAGCAAUUGAAAUGAUCGUCAUGGACGAGGAGAUGUUAUUGGGCAAAUUGUCUCAUUCAGGCCACUUGAGACAAGAAAUCCUAAUCCAUCAAGGCAUUACAUAAAGAUGACUAUUAGCAACUUACAGUCUGUACACCUCAAUGUCACUGUAUUUGGAAGUCACCAAUAAAACUUCCAAUGUUGUUUAUAAGGAAGUUUUUCGUAAUUUAUAAGCAACUUCUUUGUAGCAUCUUUUACUCAUUUUUACUAAAGCACAUUUCAUCCA